UGGGAACUGCAUUCGAAACUGGCAGGCUUGAGUCUUGUAGAGGGGGGUAGAAUUCCAGGUGUAGCGGUGAAAUGCGUAGAGAUCUGGAGGAAUACCGGUGGCGAAGGCGGCCCCCUGGACAAAGACUGACGCUCAGGUGCGAAAGCGUGGGGAGCAAACAGGAUUAGAUACCCUGGUAGUCCACGCCGUAAACGAUGUCUACUUGGAGGUUGUGCCCUUGAGGCGUGGCUUCCGGAGCUAACGCGUUAAGUAGACCGCCUGGGGAGUACGGCCGCAAGGUUAAAACUCAAAUGAAUUGACGGGGGCCCGCACAAGCGGUGGAGCAUGUGGUUUAAUUCGAUGCAACGCGAAGAACCUUACCUGGUCUUGACAUCCACAGAA
rnacentral:rRNA from 1 species